rnacentral:rRNA from 1 species
GUGGGGAAUAUUGGGCAAUGGGCGCAAGCCUGACCCAGCAACGCCGCGUGAAGGAAGAAGGCUUUCGGGUUGUAAACUUCUUUUCUGGGGGACGAACAAAUGACGGUACCCCAGGAAUAAGCCACGGCUAACUACGUGCCAGCAGCCGCGGUAAUACGUAGGUGGCAAGCGUUAUCCGGAUUUAUUGGGUGUAAAGGGCGUGUAGGCGGGAAUGCAAGUCAGAUGUGAAAACUAUGGGCUCAACCCAUAGCCUGCAUUUGAAACUGUAUUUCUUGAGUGCUGGAGAGGCAAUCGGAAUUCCGUGUGUAGCGGUGAAAUGCGUAGAUAUACGGAGGAACACCAGUGGCGAAGGCGGAUUGCUGGACAGUAACUGACGCUGAGGCGCGAAAGCGUGGGGAGCAAACAGG